GCAUGGAGGAGGCUGCGAUUGUUCUGACAGAGCAGGAGGUGUCCAAUCAGAGCUCAGACACACCUGAGGUCCUGGACAGGUCAAAGGACUCACCUGGGAACUGUGUCAGCCAAUCAGAAGGCUCAGCUGAAGUACCAGCCGGCACCC